rnacentral:rRNA from 1 species
AGAGUUUGAUCCUGGCUCAGGAUGAACGCUAGCGACAGGCCUAACACAUGCAAGUCGAGGGGCAGCGAAGAGGUAGCAAUACCUCUGUCGGCGACCGGCGCACGGGUGAGUAACACGUAUGCAAUCCACCUGUAACAGGGGGAUAACCCGGAGAAAUCCGGACUAAUACCCCAUAAUAUGGGCGCUCCGCAUGGAGGGCUCAUUAAAGAAAGCAAUUUUGGUUACAGACGAGCAUGCGCUCCAUUAGCCAGUUGGCGGGGUAACGGCCCACCAAAGCGACGAUGGAUAGGGGUUCUGAGAGGAAGGUCCCCCACAUUGGAACUGAGACACGGUCCAAACUCCUACGGGAGGCAGCAGUGAGGAAUAUUGGUCAAUGGUCGGCAGACUGAACCAGCCAAGUCGCGUGAGGGAAGACGGCCCUACGGGUUGUAAACCUCUUUUGUCGGAGAGUAAAGUGCGCUACGCGUAGCGUAUUGCAAGUAUCCGAAGAAAAAGCAUCGGCUAACUCCGUGCCAGCAGCCGCGGUAAUACGGAGGAUGCAAGCGUUAUCCGGAUUUAUUGGGUUUAAAGGGUGCGUAGGCGGCACGCCAAGUCAGCGGUGAAAUUUCCGGGCUCAACCCGGAAUGUGCCGUUGAAACUGGCGAGCUAGAGUACACAAGAGGCAGGCGGAAUGCGUGGUGUAGCGGUGAAAUGCAUAGAUAUCACGCAGAACCCCGAUUGCGAAGGCAGCCUGCUAGGGUGAAACAGACGCUGAGGCACGAAAGCGUGGGUAUCGAACAGGAUUAGAUACCCUGGUAGUCCACGCAGUAAACGAUGAAUACUAACUGUUUGCGAUACAAUGUAAGCGGUACAGCGAAAGCGUUAAGUAUUCCACCUGGGGAGUACGCCGGCAACGGUGAAACUCAAAGGAAUUGACGGGGGCCCGCACAAGCGGAGGAACAUGUGGUUUAAUUCGAUGAUACGCGAGGAACCUUACCCGGGCUUAAAUUGCAACUGACGGAAUCGGAAACGGUUCUUUCUUCGGACAGUUGUGAAGGUGCUGCAUGGUUGUCGUCAGCUCGUGCCGUGAGGUGUCGGCU